UCCCUGAUUUAGGGGCGGACGGGUGAGUAAUGCCUAGGAAUUUGCCUGGUAGUGGGGGAUAACGUUCCGAAAGGAACGCUAAUACCGCGUACGUCCUACGGGAGAAAGCAGGGGACCUUCGGGCCUUGCGCUAUCAGAUGAGCCUAGGUCGGAUUAGCUAGUUGGUGGGGUAAAGGCCUACCAAGGCAUCGAUCAGUAGCUGGUCUGAGAGGACGACCAGCCACACUGGAACUGAGACACGGUCCAGACUCCUACGGGAGGCAGCAGUGGGGAAUUUUGGACAAUGGGGGCAACCCUGAUCCAGCAAUGCCGCGUGAGUGAAGAAGGCCUUCGGGUUGUAAAGCUCUUUUGUCAGGGAAGAAACGGUGAGGGUUAAUAUCCUUUGCUAAUGACGGUACGUGAAGA
rnacentral:rRNA from 1 species